rnacentral:rRNA from 1 species
CAGCAGCCGCGGUAAUACGGAGGAUGCAAGCGUUAUCCGGAUUUAUUGGGUUUAAAGGGUGCGCAGGCGGACUAAUAAGUCAGUGGUGAAAUUUACAUGCUUAACAUGUGACGUGCCAUUGAUACUGUUAGACUAGUAUACAAAUGACGUAGCUGGAAUGUGUUAUGUAGCGGUGAAAUGCAUAGAUAUAACACAGAACACCGAUCGUGAAGACAGGUUACGAAUUUGUGAUAGACGCUCAUGCACGAAAGCGUGGGGAUCAAACAGGAUUAGAUACCCUGGUAGUCCACGCUGUAAACGAUGAUAACUUGUUGUUGGGCACAUAGUGCUCAGUGGCUAAGCGAAAGCGAUAAGUUAUCCACCUGGGGAGUACGAUCGCAAGGUUGAAACUCAAAGGAAUUGACGGGGGCCCGCACAAGCGGAGGAGCAUGUGGUUUAAUUCGAUGAUACGCGAGGAACCUUACCCGGGCUCGAACGUAUGUUGAAUAAUGUGGAAACAUGUUAGUCGUAAGACAACAUACGAGGUGGUGCAUGGCC